rnacentral:rRNA from 1 species
UACAGGGGGGGCAAGCGUUGUUCGGAAUUACUGGGCGUAAAGGGCUCGUAGGCGGCCGGCUAAGUCCGACGUGAAAUCCCCAGGCUUAACCUGGGAACUGCGUCGGAUACUGGCGGGCUUGAAUCCGGGAGAGGGAUGCGGAAUUCCAGGUGUAGCGGUGAAAUGCGUAGAUAUUCGGAAGAACACCAGUGGCGAAGGCGGCUCACUGGACCGGUAUUGACGCUGAGGUGCGAAAGCGUGGGGAGCAAACAGG